ACUUAAAGUAGCUCAUAACACCUUGCUCAGCCCCACCCCCACGGGAAACAGCAGUGAUAAAAAUUAAGCAAUAGAUGAAAGUCUGACUAAGUUAUAUUUAUUAAGGACUGGUAAAUCUCGUGCCAGCCACCGCGGUCAUACGAUUAGACCAAACUAAUAGACAAUCGGCGUAAAGUGUGUUUUAGAGAACAACCAGAUAAUAAAGUCAAGCCCCAACUAGGCUGUAAAAAGCCCUAGUUAUUGUAAGAUAUUCAACGAAAGUGACUUUAGAGUUUCUGACUACACGAUAGCUAAGACCCAAACUGGGAUUAGAUACCCCACUAUGCUUAGCCCUAAACAUAGAAAAUUAUUAACAAAAUUAUUCGCCAGAGUACUACCAGCAAAAGCUAGAAACUCAAAGGACUUGGCGGUGCCUUAUAUCCCUCUAGAGGAGCCUGUUCUAUAAUCGAUAAACCCCGAUACACCUUACCAAUCCUUGCCAAAUCAGCCUAUAUACCGCCAUCUUCAGCAAACCCUACUAAAGGAAUUAUAGUAAGCACAAAUAUCAGCAUAAAAACGUUAGGUCAAGGUGUAGCCUAUGGAUUGGAAAGCAAUGGGCUACAUUUCCCAAGCAGGGAUAAUUACUACGAAAACUCAUGUGAAACCAUUAGCCAAAGGAGGAUUUAGCAGUAAAUUAAGAAUAGAGUGCUUAAUUGAAUAAGGCCAUGAGGCACGCACACACCGCCCGUCACCCUCCUCAAGCAAAGAUAUUAUCUAUUCUAUAAAUCUCGA
rnacentral:rRNA from 1 species